rnacentral:rRNA from 1 species
GAUGAACGCUGGCGGCGUGCCUAAUACAUGCAAGUCGAGCGAACAGACGAGGAGCUUGCUCCUCUGACGUUAGCGGCGGACGGGUGAGUAACACGUGGAUAACCUACCUAUAAGACUGGGAUAACUUCGGGAAACCGGAGCUAAUACCGGAUAAUAUAUUGAACCGCAUGGUUCAAUAGUGAAAGACGGUUUUGCUGUCACUUAUAGAUGGAUCCGCGCCGCAUUAGCUAGUUGGUAAGGUAACGGCUUACCAAGGAAACGAUGCGUAGCCGACCUGAGAGGGUGAUCGGCCACACUGGAACUGAGACACGGUCCAGACUCCUACGGGAGGCAGCAGUGGGGAAUAUUGCACAAUGGGCGAAAGCCUGACGUAGCCACGCCGCGUGAGUGAUGAAGGUCUUCGGGUCGUAAAACUCUUUUAUUAGGAAAGAAAAACAGUAGAUUUAACCACCGACGUCUUGACGGUACCUAAACAGAAAGCACCGGCUAACUUCGUG